UCGAGCGGAUGAGUGGAGCUUGCUCCAUGAUUCAGCGGCGGACGGGUGAGUAAUGCCUAGGAAUCUGCCUGGUAGUGGGGGACAACGUUUCGAAAGGAACGCUAAUACCGCAUACGUCCUACGGGAGAAAGCAGGGGACCUUCGGGCCUUGCGCUAUCAGAUGAGCCUAGGUCGGAUUAGCUAGUAGGUGAGGUAAUGGCUCACCUAGGCGACGAUCCGUAACUGGUCUGAGAGGAUGAUCAGUCACACUGGAACUGAGACACGGUCCAGACUCCUACGGGAGGCAGCAGUGGGGAAUAUUGGACAAUGGGCGAAAGCCUGAUCCAGCCAUGCCGCGUGUGUGAAGAAGGUCUUCGGAUUGUAAAGCACUUUAAGUUGGGAGGAAGGGCAGUAAGUUAAUACCUUGCUGUUUUGACGUUACCAACAGAAUAAGCACCGGCUAACUUCGUGCCAGCAGCCGCGGUAAUACGAAGGGUGCAAGCGUUAAUCGGAAUUACUGGGCGUAAAGCGCGCGUAGGUGGUUCAGCAAGUUGGAGGUGAAAUCCCCGGGCUCAACCUGGGAACUGCCUCCAAAACUACUGAGCUAGAGUACGGUAGAGGGUAGUGGAAUUUCCUGU
rnacentral:rRNA from 1 species